rnacentral:rRNA from 1 species
ACGUAGUUUGAUCAUGGCUCAGGAUGAACGCUGGCGGCGUGUCUAAGGCAUGCAAGUCGAACGGACUGUUAUUUGUAGCAAUACUUAGAACAGUUAGUGGACGAAACGGGUGCGUAACACAUUGGUAACCUGCCUACAAAGUCGGGCAUAACUCCCGCGAAAGUGGGACUAAUUCCACGAUAGUCAUCGAAGGUGAGAUUCCUUCGAUGUAAAAGUCGCAAGACGCUUUGAGAGGGGGCCUAUGGCCUAUCAGCUUGUUGGUGAGGUAACGGCUCACCAAGGCUAUGACGGGUAGGGGGGUGUGAGAGCACGACCCCCCCUCACUGGGACUGAGACACUGCCCAGACACCUACGGGUGGCUGCAGUCGAGAAUAUUCCCCAAUGGCCGAAAGGCUGAGGGAGCGACGCCGCGUGCAGGAAUAAGGCCUUCGGGUCGUAAACUGCUUUUGCCGAGGAAGAAUCAUGACGGUACUCGGAGAAUAAGAGGUUGCUAACUCUGUG